CUACGGGUUGCAGCAGUGGGGAAUAUUGCACAAUGGGGGGAACCCUGAUGCAGCAACGCCGCGUGGAGGAUGACACAUUUCGGUGCGUAAACUCCUUUUAUAUAAGAAGAUAAUGACGGUAUUAUAUGAAUAAGCACCGGCUAACUCCGUGCCAGCAGCCGCGGUAAUACGGGGGGUGCAAGCGUUACUCGGAAUCACUGGGCGUAAAGAGCAUGUAGGCGGGUAGAAAAGUUGGGAGUGAAAUCCUAUGGCUUAACCAUAGAACUGCUUCCAAAACUCUUUACCUAGAAUAUGGGAGAGGUAGAUGGAAUUUCUGGUGUAGGGGUAAAAUCCGUAGAGAUCAGAAGGAAUACCGAUUGCGAAGGCGAUCUACUGGAACAUUAUUGACGCUCAGAUGCGAAAGCGUGGGGAGCAAACAGGAUUAGAUACCCCCGUAGUC
rnacentral:rRNA from 1 species